rnacentral:rRNA from 1 species
GAUGAACGCUGGCGGCGUGCCUAAUACAUGCAAGUCGAGCGAACAGACGAGGAGCUUGCUCCUCAGACGUUAGCGGCGGACGGGUGAGUAACACGUGGAUAACCUACCUAUAAGACUGGGAUAACUUCGGGAAACCGGAGCUAAUACCGGAUAAUAUAUUGAACCGCAUGGUUCAAUAGUGAAAGACGGUUUUGCUGUCACUUAUAGAUGGAUCCGCGCCGCAUUAGCUAGUUGGUAAGGUAACGGCUUACCAAGGCAACGAUGCGUAGCCGACCUGAGAGGGUGAUCGGCCACACUGGAACUGAGACACGGUCCAGACUCCUACGGGAGGCAGCAGUAGGGAAUCUUCCGCAAUGGGCGAAAGCUUGACGGAGCAACGCCGCGUGAGUGAUGAAGGUCUUCGGAUCGUAAAACUCUGUUAUUAGGGAAGAACAAAUGUGUAAGUAACUAUGCACGUCCUGACGGUACCUAAUCAGAAAGCCACGGCUAACUACGUG